AAAAAAAAUAAAUUAGAUGACUAAAAAAAAAUAAUUAAAAAUUAAUAUUUAAUAAUAAAUUAAGGAAUAACAUAAAAAUAAUUUAAUAAAAAAUAAAUAAUUAAAACAAAAAAAGUAAAAAAUUACGCUACGCAACAAAGCUGAAGGAAAAUUUUGCGAAUGUUGUGCUAAGAGGUCUGUGGAGUAAAUGUUGGUGGUUUAAACACUACAGCUCUUGACUACAACACAAAAAUAUUCGAGGUGUGAGGAAAUUUUUACUAGCAUUUUCGAGUUUAGCAACUCAAAGCUAGCAAGAAACAGUCUCUAACAGCACAGUCGCAAAAUGACUGUAAACUAGCGUCAUUUUUUAUAGAAGAAAUGUAAAUAAUAUACCAUACAAUUAACUGGAAAAAAUUUCCAUAAAAAUUUUCUAACAAAAUUUAUUUCGAAAAUUUGCACUUGAGUUCGGCCAUGCCAUACAACAAAAAUUGUCUAAAGUAAUGUCAAGUUAAACCGUUUGAAAAAAAUAAAUAUACACAUAUUGUACAUAUAAACAUGGAUCUGUAGCUGUAUCUAAAAAUAUGAAGCCUAACAUUAAUCUUUCGGCGUGCCCACUAAACUUUUGAAAAAAGAAAAAUCAUAAUUAUCUUAAGCAUUAGUGAAAUUUAUGAAAAAUGACGUCAAAAGUACAAACACACUAGAAAAGAGGAACAAGAAUGAAAAAAAAAUAUGUGUACAAGUACAUACCCUUAAAAGCGAGUUCAAAAGCAGCGCGAGACUGUAUAACUUAUUGUGUUAAGACACUACGAACUUUGCGCUAUCAUUAGGUAUAUGUAUAUAAAAAGCAAUAAUAACUGUAAAUGCGUGUGUUAGAAGUUUAAUUGGAGGAAUUACUGCUAAAUGAGUGCUCAAAAACAUAAAUGAAUAAAGAGUACUAUAAUACUCAAAAAGCAAGCGAUAACAAAGAUAUGUGAAAGAAAUACUGACACAAGUCAAUGGAAGCGUAUGUUAUAAGAGAUAGGUGGCUCACUAACCGUGCGUGCAGGCUGGGGGUGGCAGACCACAGCGGUAUCGGAACAGGCAGCUGUAAAGCCGAUGAGUUGGCAGGGCAUGGUACCCUAGUCUCGCUAUCAAUAGAAUGGCAACCGAUCGGUAUUUCUCACUUCUCAUAUAUACUACUAGAUCCAGCUGGGCUUCGCGGAAACUUGGCCAGCGCUCGGCGACCAUCGGUUCAUGCGCUGCCGCAAGUUCCGUUUGGCACAAGAGCGAUCGUAAGAGAUGGAGAGUUUUCGAAAGAUAAACACGAUUUGGGAAAUAUAAAGUCAACUGGUUCAUGUCGACCCAAACGGAAAGCCGCGAUAUCAACCUAACGAUGAUAUUGUCAGAAGUUCUGCGAGAGCAGCUUUUUUCAGAGUGACUUUUGGAAAUCAAAUCGUAAUGACCGAGUUUUGAGUAUUUUUCAUUGAAAAUUUCACAAAAUCGUUAACAAAUAUGUAUCUUCGGCAUAAUAAAAAUUUUGAAUAAAAUAUUGCAUUUUUUAAAUGAAAAAAAAAAUAUUUUCGAAAAUAGGGCGUUUUUUGCUCGACGAAACCCAUGUAACCGCUUGGAGGAGUGGAAAACAGUUCUUAUCGUUUACUCCUAGC